rnacentral:rRNA from 1 species
GGGCCCGCACAAGCGGCGGAGCAUGUGGCUUAAUUCGACGCAACGCGAAGAACCUUACCAAGGCUUGACAUACACCGGAAACGUCUGGAGACAGGCGCCCCCUUGUGGUCGGUGUACAGGUGGUGCAUGGCUGUCGUCAGCUCGUGUCGUGAGAUGUUGGGUUAAGUCCCGCAACGAGCGCAACCCUUGUCCCGUGUUGCCAGCAGGCCCUUGUGGUGCUGGGGACUCACGGGAGACCGCCGGGGUCAACUCGGAGGAAGGUGGGGACGACGUCAAGUCAUCAUGCCCCUUAUGUCUUGGGCUGCACACGUGCUACAAUGGCCGGUACAAUGAGCUGCGAUACCGCGAGGUGGAGCGAAUCUCAAAAAGCCGGUCUCAGUUCGGAUUGGGGUCUGCAACUCGACCCCAUGAAGUCGGAGUCGCUAGUAAUCGCAGA